rnacentral:tRNA from 1 species
GUUAGUUAAAUAAAUAAUAUAAACUUGUCAUGUUUAAGUUGCACACGCCCUCUUAAGUGCCACA